AGCGAACGCUGGCGGCAGGCCUAACACAUGCAAGUCGAACGGAUCCUUCGGGAUUAGUGGCGGACGGGUGAGUAACACGUGGGAACGUGCCUUUUGGUUCGGAACAACUCAGGGAAACUUGAGCUAAUACCGAAUGUGCCCUUCGGGGGAAAGAUUUAUCGCCAUUAGAGCGGCCCGCGUCUGAUUAGCUAGUUGGUGGGGUAAAGGCUCACCAAGGCUACGAUCAGUAGCUGGUCUGAGAGGAUGAUCAGCCACAUUGGGACUGAGACACGGCCCAAACUCCUACGGGAGGCAGCAGUGGGGAAUCUUGCGCAAUGGGCGAAAGCCUGACGCAGCCAUGCCGCGUGAAUGAUGAAGGUCUUAGGGAUUGUAAAAUUCUUUCACCGGGGACGAUAAUGACGGUACCCGGAGAAGAAGCCCGGCUAACUCGUGCCAGCAGCCGCGGUAAACUACUCGUA
rnacentral:rRNA from 1 species